GCCAUCAUUUCGACGCAGCUUCUUUUUUCUGAUGUUGUUUUGCUUUGCAGGUAUUCUAAAUCGAUUGGCGCUAUAAAUGUUUUUUCAAUCGGAUUACUAAUAGCAUGACGACAUUAAGAAAUUGCUCUGCGAUAUUCCAUUGUUGAAUCAAAACAAAAACACCAGAAGUCCCCAAAUCGACCAUUAAAUCCCGGGAACCAGAAGUUAAGCAUCAUCAAAUGUGCAAGACUCUUCUUAAUAAGUCCUCCAGUGAGGACAGUAUAAUACAAGCAUCGAGUGGUUAAAUUUCUUCUUCAUACAUGCUCCAGUGAUCAGUAAGGACAAUAUAACCAAAGAACAGUAGAAGAAAUAUAGAGAUUUUGAAUGAUUCAAGGUUUUACCGUUGGUUGGCAGUGCGAUGUUUUGUGAUAGUAGACUUUUGAAGAAUUGUUCAUGCAGUACGAUCUUGGUUAUGUUUUUUUUUCUCUCCCACUCUUUCUCUACGCUUUUUCAAAUUUUGGUUUGAAUUUUUGAUGUUUUACUUCUUAGGGUUUCCAUUUAUAGAUAUGAACGUUGUAUGAUCAUGAGAUGAGGGAUAAUUUUGGUUUUUUCUGGAUGUGAAGUUACGAGCGUCUUUAGCAUCGCCUAGAUGAAAAUGUAAGCAUAACAAACCUUCAUUCUGUUGAUGAUAAGU